CAAAACCCCAUCUCUGCUAAAAAGACAAUUAGUUGGGCGUGGUGGUGGGUGCCUGUAAUUCCAGCUACUCGGGAGUCUGAGGCAGGAGAAUCACUUGAACCCUGGAGGUGGAAGUUGCAGUGAGCCGAGAUUGCGGCACUGUACACCAGCCUGGGUGACAAGGGUGAAACUCCAUCUCAAAAAAAAAAAUCCAUAAAAUAAUAAAACCUCAUUGAGCUAUGUGGCUUUAUGUUUACUAGCAAAGCUAGUAUUUACUGUAAAAUCUUAAAACUGGUCUAAAACUUAAGCUACCCAAGAACAGAGGCCAUGUAUUAUUUUGUAUUCCUCAUGAUGCCACAUGCUGUUAGGCACAUGGUUGCUCAAUGAAUGAUCAUAUAGUAUGAAGACCACCAGAAGUAGGAGUUAAAAAGUGGAUGAUGGUCCUUGCUUAACAUUCUCUACUUGUAUGGGGCAAACUACCUAAUUUACAAAGAUGUUAUUUUCCUCUCUCUAAUGUGAAGAUUGAACAACAUGGUAAUAUAAGUUCCUUUAUUCUGGAGUAGGAUUGCCAGAAUUGGGGAAAAGGCCCUUCAAUUACAAAAUUACAGAAUUUAAGAUUUUACUUUUGGGUCCUGUUCCCUUGUCUGGUUUCUUCCUAGAUUCUGCCCUAUUGAGUGAUUGUUCUGCAAAGCAGUAUAAACACCUUGGAGAGGUAUGCGUUUUUACAGACUAAAGAGUCUCAUUCUAUCCAUAUUAUAACUCCAAAGCUACACAAACUGAAAAAGUUCUAGCAAAAGUAUAACAUUUUGUUUUAAAUAUGAAGUAUAUAUUUAAUUCACUUUUUCAAAACAUAGGAAAA
rnacentral:lncRNA from 10 species